UGGGAAGAAGGAGAAGAUCCGCAAAAGAAC
rnacentral:piRNA from 1 species